rnacentral:rRNA from 1 species
AUUGAACGCUGGCGGCAGGCUUAACACAUGCAAGUCGAACGAGCGGCGGACGGGUGAGUAAUUUAUGGGAAACUGCCUUAUGGCGGGGGAUAACUACUGGUAACGGUAGCUAAUACAGCAUACUAUCAGAUGUGCCCAGAUGGGAUUAGCUAGUAGGUGGGGUAAAGGCUCACCAAGGCAACGAUCCCUAGCUGGUCUGAGAGGAUGACCAGCCACACUGGAACUGAGAUACGGGCCAGACUCCUACGGGAGGCAGAAGUGGGGAAUAUGGCACAAUGGGGGGAACCCGGACGCAGCCAUGCCGCGUGUAUGAAGAAGGCCUUCGGGUUGUAAAGGACUUUCGGCGGGGAGGCGGUACCCGAAGAAGAAGCACCGGCUAACUCCGUGCCAGCAGCCGCGGUAAUAC